rnacentral:lncRNA from 10 species
CCACUAUGUGGUGGGGAUUGUGCAGGGGGCUAGAGAUAGAUGAAGUUCCUGUCCCUGUCCCACAUGCCUUUAUUCUGGAAGGCAGAGGUUGGGAAUUUGAAAACAAUGAGACGGCUGCUGGGUUGGAGGUUGGUCCCAGGAAGACACAGAGGAAGGAGGAGGCCGGGACUUCACCUGGAUGCCUUUUUUUCCUGACUACAAUGAGCAACAGCUGUUUGAGAUGGUGGAGCACAUUCUUGCUGGGGAGAGGAAGCAAGUGGUAAGAAAGGUUUCAAGAGUCACAGCUCAAAAGCCUGUGAGGAGCUCCUGGAAGACAUUGUAUAAGUUCUCUACAGCAACGGAGCAAGUUAAAUGAGAAAUAAUUACUCAAUGAGCAGGAUUCUCUGGCCUGUGUGGCUAUGUGUUGUCAAUGCGUUCCCCCGAAUAAUAGAUGAGUUGUGAAAUGUGUAAAUUCUUUGGUAUAGCUAUUGUAAUGUAGGAACUACAAUCCCCAGAAAACGUCAUAAUAAACAGUAGCAAGACUGUGGUUCCACACUGCUCUGCCGUGACGUUUCCUGGGAAAGCUGGGAGUCACUGCAUGUUCACCUUGAUCCAGGACCUGCCUGAAAGGUUCUUGGCCCGCCGUGAGUUUAGUGCUUCAAGGACCAGAUAGGAACCCGUCUUUUUCAGCACCCUGAUAGAAGCUGGUCCUGUCUCAUCUUUUUGGCACAUAAAAAUAGUUCAUUUGCACUAACAUGUAUCCAUCUGGUGAUACUGGAAGUGCAUUUUGUUUUUCCCCAGGGUUCUGAUGAAACAUUGCCU